AUACGAAGGGGGCUAGCGUUGUUCGGAAUUACUGGGCGUAAAGGGUGCGUAGGCGGCAUUACAAGUCUAAUGUGAAAUCCCCGUGCUUAACAUGGGGUUUGCAAUAGAAACUGUAAAGCUAGAGUGCAGGAGAGGUAAGUGGAAUUCCGAGUGUAGAGGUGAAAUUCGUAGAUAUUCGGAGGAACACCAGUGGCGAAGGCGGCUUACUGGUCCAUUACUGACGCUGAGGUGCGAAAGCGUGGGGAGC
rnacentral:rRNA from 1 species